UCCCUGGUAGCUCAAUGGUAGAGCACCCGGCUGUUAACCGGGUUGUUGUAGGUUCGAGCCCUACCCGGGGAGCCA
rnacentral:tRNA from 1 species